GCCUUUUAUUUCUGUUGUCGGCAUGCUGAGGCUAGGAAUUCCAGUGAGAGUAGAUGGUUCCUGUCUUGUUCCUGAGCACAGAGGAAAAGCUCUUAGUUUUUCCCCAUUGAGGAUGAUCUUAGCUGGGAGUUUAUUAUAGAAGGCCUUCAUGAUGUUGAGUAGGAAGAUCUGGGGUCAGGAGAGCCAGGGUCUGACCUGGCAGGUCUCAGGCCACUGUCACUGAGCUCAUUGCUCUGCCCCUCCAGGCCCGUUUCCCCACCUACACACUCACUGAGGACAGCUGGCCUGGCUGCUUUCUCUCGGAGGAACAUGUGGGCAUCUCCAGGCUCUUCCCCUGUCCUGAGCUGACUUGUAUAUCACCCAAGUAAGAAGAGAAUGUAUUCUCCUUGUAAACAACUAAAACAAUGCAGAAGAUUUCAGCUUCUGGGGUCAGAGAAACUGGAGUCACCCUCCCACUUUAAAUAACCAAAUCAACAGACAAAAUAUGUGACCCGAUGCUGUCCAGCUGUUGGACAGAACAGGGAUUCCAGAGAAAAAGAAACACAAGCAAAUGAGGAGAGCGUCUGAGGAAGUGAGCAAGACUUCAUGCCAGGAGCUGAAGAUCACGGCAGGCCCUCAGCAGCGAGGCAGGUCUCGGGCCUUUCUCCUGAGCCUCCUGUGGAGGCCUGGGGAAGAGAGCCUGAGAGCGAAUGUGUGCUUGCUUUGUGCGGAGGGGCCCCAGCCAUUGCAGACAAACGAGUCCCUUCUUUGCCUGAACGAUCCAGUCACAUUGUACUGGGUUUCCUCUCCUGCACUUGUCUCGCGGCCGAACUUCCUGCGGUGCUCUGCCACAGGUGAGACGUUUUGGCUGUCCUCUCUCCUCAGAACUCAGAUGACCUCGUUGCCUUUCUGAUGAACUCAAGAAACGUCAUGACUUUGUAGUUUAUUCACCCUUUCAUUGUUGUCGGGGCAGGAAUGUUUUUUGUGGCGUUCUAUAUUCUAAGCAAAUGCGGAAACCCAUACUGACUAUUAAUAUAAUAGGGUUACGGGUAAUUUAGAUUCUCUGUAUUAUAUAUUUAUGUAACAUUUGAAUUUUUACAAGUGUAUUUUGGUUUUAUAAGCAGAAAAGAAAAAAUGAGCCAGGAUUCUUUGGAGAAACCAAACCAAUAGUGUGUGUGUGUGUGUGUGUGUGUGUGUGUGUGUGUGUAUAUAUAGAAAGAGAGAACAAGAUUUAUUAUAAGGAAUUGGCUCACACAAUUAUGGGGGCUGAGGAGUUCCAAGAGCUGCAGUUGGCAAGCGGGGGACCCCGAAGAGCUGUUGGUGUAGUUCCAAGUCCAAGUCCGAAAACCAGGAGCACUGAUGUGUGUAAGCUCCAGUCCAAAGCCAGCAGACUCGAGCCCCAAGAAGAGCAGAUGUUUCGGCUGGGCGGCAGAAGGCUGGCGCUGGGGUACAGUGAGGGAGGAGGAGCUCCUCUCCCUCAGCCUUUGGUUCUAUUCUGAUCUUCAACCAAUUGGAUGAGGCCCACGCACACCAAGGAGGGCAAUCUGCUUUACUCAGUCUACCAGUGAGAAUGUCAAUCCCCUCCAGAAAGACCCUCCCAGACACAGCCAGAAUAAUGCUUGACCAAAUGUCUGGGCACCCCUGGCUCAGUCCAGUUGACGCAUAAAAUUAACUGUCAUAAUGUUAUAAUAAUAAUAAUACCAUCAUAAUUCUGGACAACCUCUUAAGGCUGAGACGGAUCUGGGAGGCUCCAGUGGCCUGGACACCCAGCUGACUUCUGGCUCCCAGAAGCCACUCACUGAGAAAUGCUGUCCAGUCUGGACCCACCCAAGCCAGACCUUCCUCCUGAUGACAAAGGAAGAGCUGAGACCACUACACAGAGGUCUUCCCCUCAAAGGCACCUCAAGACGGUGAGGCGUUGGGAAGCCACGUUUGCCAGCCCUAUGGAAGAGCAGCAGCCCACGAAGCUUGGGCUGGACAGGUUGCUCGCCCCCACCAUCUAAGAGUCAUGAGGCACCUUUUAUAAGCUGAGGGCUUGCUCCAGAUCCCCAGAGCUUCCAGCAAAAAAAUGUUUCCAGAAGUAACCAACAAUGCUAGUGGUCUAGUGGUUUCCUUUUGAAUCUCGCUUACCCUGGCCUGUGCUCAAAUUCUCAAACUUGAGAAUUAUUAUCUUAAAAUUCAGAUUCCUACAUCCUACCCACAGAGAUUUGUAUUCAAUAGGUCUCGAGUGCGGCCCAGGGCUCUUCGUGCUUUACCAGCACCCCAGGAUUCCUAGAAGCAUUGCCUCCGGCCUCACUGGACCCGGAAAACAUUCACAGACAUUCCUUUUCAUGGAACAACAUGCUAGAGUCCAGCAAAUCUUGCAUGACUCCAUAUACACCAAGUCCCAGAAUAGGCAAGAGUCACGUACAGUGACAGGAUUCAGUGGCUGCCCGGGAAGGCACACAGGGGCGACUCUGGAGAGAUGGAAAUGUUCUAGAAUUUAUCUGGUGUGUGAAUUUGUCAAAAGUGAUGGAGCUGUACACUUAAAAUGUGAGUUCUCUUAUGUGCAAAUCAAACCUCAGCGAAGUCAUUUUGAAAAGCUUAUCAUGUGUUGUCUCAUAAAAAGGAUAUUCCUGAUAUUUACACAUUGUGCUCCGUGGCAUCACGAUGACAUCUGAGAGCACGUGUGUGACUCACCUCCUCUUUCAUGCAUCAGGUGCCGCGUGCCAGCAAGUCACCCUCUUAUCUAUUUAUCAGGCUCCGUCUUGAUCCAGUAAGCCCAGGCCCAGGCCCUUGAGCGGGGUGCUUAGAAGAGAACUGGCAAGUGGAGCAAGUGGCCCCGUCUUCUAGAAACUCUGUGUUUAGGCAAUUCUUGCCUUCCAGUCCCCUGCUCCACACCACACUCCUCUGGGUAGAGGGACACACACACACAUACUUCCUGCUCAUGGAAAAAAGUCACUGUGGGAUCAACGCAAGACUGAGAACUGAGACUCCUGAGAAAUCACCACAGGGCCGGCAGGUCACAACUCGAGGGGCUGCCCCUCACCCUUGCCACCAGCACCACUGCUUCCCUUCCCUAGAGUCGAGGUCAAGAGAAAACUCCACAGGGACGGAAGUUGCGGCUUUGACCUCAGAAGUCACCAGUGCUCUGAAUGUGGGGAUUGGAGGACGAAGGGGCAUUGGGAGAGGCCCCCAGCAGGGAGCCCUCUGGAUUGGCGCAUCCCAGGUUCUAAGCCCUGUUCUGCCAGCCGACUCACAGGGUCACCUGGGGCAUCAUGACCCUGCUCGGGGCCACAGUCCACACAUCUGUAAAAUGCUGGACUGAAUGAGACAUCACCAGUGAUUAUCACCAUUGUCAUGAUUACUGUUGGGCUCAGGAUCCCAUUCUUCAAAUGAAACCCUUCGUAGAGUCCCAAUAAGAAAAAAGAGCAUAUCUGAUUGAAAAUGGAGUUUAGGGGCCCAUGUCCCUUGUUUCCCCCUUGCUCUGAGGACCCGUACGGCGCCUGAGAAUUGUUUAAAAACUGCUAGGCUAGCUGAGCUCCCCGUCCAUGCAGCUGAAUUCUGGAAACCCCCAUCACGGAAACCUUCCAGGACUCCAAAUGACCCAACUCCAGCCACUGUGACCUCAGAAUGACAGGAGGCACACAUAAUCAAACUCUGGGAAGCCCAACGUGAAAUAACUCCAUUCGUAUUGUGACUAGAAUGUGAUUAUUCCAUUACUCAGACUGCCAUCUCUGGCUAAGUGAGUUCUGAAUCCUGUUCUCCCACUCCCCAAUCUCCCUGCCCUGAGACUUCAGAAUCACCUAGAAUUCCAAAUCUAAAUGGCAAAUCUAGGACAGUCAACUCCACACCUAACUUUAGAUGAAUACAGAUCCUUCUCUAAGACUCUGACGCGUGGGAAAUGUCGUCGUCCCUGUCACUCCAGAGUGUGUUAAAAGCAUGGGCCAUUACUGUUACCUAUUAUGCAGCUGAGGAAAACAGACUCUGGGUCACCAAGAGGUGAAGCUGGGAUUUGGGGGGGCGGGUAGCCAGCGCUCACAGACAGGCUGUGGGUGCUAAGAUCGCUUGUCUGAGCCCAACUCAUCUCUACGGACGACGACAGU